rnacentral:tRNA from 1 species
GCCUCCGUAGCUCAGUUGGAUAGAGCAUUCCUCUCCUAAAGGAAAGGUCGCUGGUUCGAAUCCAGUCGGGGGCA